rnacentral:tRNA from 37 species
GGAGAGAUGGCUGAGUGGACGAAAGCGGCGGAUUGCUAAUCCGUUGUACGAGUUAUUCGUACCGAGG